rnacentral:misc_RNA from 1 species
UAUUAAUGAUGUGAUGUUACGCCGUUACUCUAAAGCCCGCUCUUCGGCUAAUGGUUCUGUUAACGGAGAUGUUCCAAAUAAUCUCAAAACUACAAACACUGAUAUUAAUGAAAGACGCAUUCAGGAUUUGUCUAGAGCCCUUGAAGAAUCUCAGAAGAAAGUCAAUGAUUUGGUGGAAGAUUUACAUGAAAGGCAAAAACAAGAAUCAGAGAUGCAAGAAGAAUUGGACAGCUUAAAAGAUAACUUGAGUUCUGAGAAGCAAAAUUUAGCAGCGGCUGCUUAUGAUUGUGAUAAAUUCAGAUCUUUAUGCGAUGAAAAAGAUGCUGAGCUUCAGGCUGCCCUAACGGAGAAGCGAAACUUGGAAAUGCGUCUUUCAAAGUUAAGUUCUCAAGGUUUGGAGAA